rnacentral:rRNA from 1 species
UACGAAGGGUGCAAGCGUUACUCGGAAUUACUGGGCGUAAAGCGUGCGUAGGUGGUGAGUUAAGUCUGAUGUGAAAUCCCCGGGCUCAACCUGGGAAUGGCAUUGGAUACUGGCUCGCUAGAGUGCGGUAGAGGAUGGUGGAAUUCCCGGUGUAGCAGUGAAAUGCGUAGAGAUCGGGAGGAACAUCUGUGGCGAAGGCGGCCACCUGGACCAACACUGACACUGAGGCACGAAAGCGUGGGGAGCAAACAGG